rnacentral:rRNA from 1 species
UGCAGUCGAGCGAGAAAAGGGGGGCAACUCCCUGAGUACAGCGGCGCACGGGUGAGUAACACGUGGGUAAUCUGCCCUGGAGUGGGGAAUAACACCGGGAAACCGGUGCUAAUACCGCAUACGAUAGCGAGGUCUGCGGACUUUGUUAUGAAAGGAGCAAUUCGCUCUAGGAGGAGCCCGCGGCUGAUUAGCUAGUUGGUGAGGUAAUGGCUCACCAAGGCUACGAUCAGUAUCCGGUCUGAGAGGACGGUCGGACACACUGGAACUGAGACACGGUCCAGACUCCUACGGGAGGCAGCAGUGGGGAAUUUUUCGCAAUGGGGGCAACCCUGACGAAGCAACGCCGCGUGGGUGAUGAAGUCUCUUGGGACGUAAAACCCUUUCGACGGGGAAGAAACCGCAAGGUUGACGGUACCCGUAGAAGAAGCCCCGGCUAACUCCGUGCCAGCAGCCGCGGUAAUACGGGGGGGGCAAGCGUUGUUCGGAAUUACUGGGCGUAAAGGGUGCGUAGGCGGUUCGCUAAGUUGGAUGUGAAAACUCUGGGCUUAACCCAGAGCCUGCAUCCAAAACUGGCGGGCUAGAGUUCUGGAGGGGGUAGCGGAAUUCCUGGUGUAGCGGUGAAAUGCGUAGAUAUCAGGAGGAACACCGGUGGCGAAGGCGGCUACCUGGACAGAAACUGACGCUGAGGCACGAAAGCUAGGGGAGCAAACAGGAUUAGAUACCCUGGUAGUCCUAGCCCUAAACGAUGGAUACUUGGUGUGACGGGGAUUGAAUCCCGUCGUGCCGAAGCUAACGCAUUAAGUAUCCCGCCUGGGGAGUACGGUCGCAAGGCUG